rnacentral:rRNA from 1 species
UUGAACGCUGGCGGAAUGCUUUACACAUGCAAGUCGAGCGGCAGCGCGGGGGCAACCCUGGCGGCGAGCGGCGAACGGGUGAGUAAUGUAUCGGAACGUACCCUGUCGUGGGGGAUAACACAGCGAAAGCUGUGCUAAUACCGCAUACGACCUGAGGGUGAAAGCGGGGGAUCGCAAGACCUCGCGCGAUAGGAGCGGCCGAUAUCGGAUUAGCUUGUUGGUGAGGUAAAGGCUCACCAAGGCGACGAUCCGUAGCUGGUCUGAGAGGACGACCAGCCACACUGGAACUGAGACACGGUCCAGACUCCUACGGGAGGCAGCAGUGGGGAAUUUUGGACAAUGGGGGCAACCCUGAUCCAGCCAUUCCGCGUGAGUGAAGAAGGCCUUCGGGUUGUAAACUCCUGUCAGUGGGGAAGAGAAUGGACGGUACCCACUGAGGAAGCUUCGGCUAACUACGU